rnacentral:lncRNA from 1 species
CGUCCAGGUCGGACUUGUUAAAGCUCGCCAAACCCUUCCUCCUACUUGAACUCCACCAAAAGAUGAGAGAGAAAGAGAGAGAGAGAGGCAGGCAGAUGAAAGUUGGUGUUUCAGCAUUUGGCGGUCUUGCUCCAAAAGUGACUUUUCGCCAGUUUUUUUCCACCGGCGACACGACGUCAAGGGACAAAAGGUUGGAAAGCCUCGCGUUC